rnacentral:lncRNA from 1 species
AGUGGGGUGGGUGACAGGAGUUAGAAGAAGUGACUGGAUUCCAGGUGUGUUUUUUAAGAUUUUCUGAUGUGGAGGCAGACAGAGAAAAAAAAAGAGGUGAUUUCAUGGCUUUUGAUUUUAGCGGCUGGAAGGAUGGCUGAAGCCUCAAGUGAGAAGGGGAAGUUGGUGUAGAAGGAGCAGGAAGUUAGGUUUGGAUCUGAGUUCCAGAGACCCCAGAGUGGAGCUGGACACCCAGUUAUGUGUGCUGGGGAGGCUUGGUUUAGGUCAUGGGACACAGACUCUAUACAGGAACCAUAGGCAGACCAUGUAUAAAACAGAACUCUGAACCACAACCUGCAGCAACCUGCCCAGGAAGUCAACCUCUUUAUCUACAGCAAACAACCCAGGAAGCCAUCCUGCUCUAAGUUAGACUUGCAGGAAGCCAGAUUGCUAUCUCUAGUGACAAUCCAGGAAGUUAAACAAUAACUGCUCUAACUAUUGGCCCCAAAUGACCAGGACUUAAUAACUGAUGACUGGUCUAAUUUUUGUUGCUACUUCCAACUCAGGCCAACCAGAGAAAGCCAGAUAUGUGCUCCUCACCAAUCACAGAGAACACCUUGCUUCUGCUUAGCCUGCCCACAGCUUCCCUUUGCCAGCAGGGCGUACCCGAAGCCUUCCAUUUUUUUCCACUUAUAAAGCUUGCCCCCUCCUCUGUCUGCCUUUGAGUCUCUGCCAGAACGUAAGUGGCUGCCUCCCUUUCUAUAGCAAACUCAGAACAAAUAGCUUUUGCUUUUCUCAUAUAGUUGGUCUGUGUUAAUGUUCAUGGAAACAUCCAAAAUGUGGCAUCUGGUAUGUGGACAAGGAUGUAACUGUGUGUCUGGUCUAGGAGGGUGAAACUUCAGGUGACGUUAGGGGAAUGGAAGAAGGAGGAAAUUGGGGCCUGAGAACUACCUUGCUUGCCUGGGGACUUUGGCUGGCUUGUUUGGCAUCAUAAAGACGGAUGAGGGAGUGGAGGUCCUUCGUGGCCUAGUGGUUAAGGAUUCAGUGUUGUCACUGCUAUGGCUUGGGUUCCAUCCCUGACUUGGAAACUUCUGCAUGCCUCAGGGUCGGCCAAAAAAGAAGAAGAAAAAAAACAACAACAUAUAUGAGGGAGAGUUCGUGUUCAUGGUGGUUGGGAGGGGGGCUNNNNNNNNNNNNNNNNNNNNNNNUGGGCAGGUGGUCACGUUUUCCUGGGGGGCAUAGAUGGGAAAGGGGUGCUGAAGCUUUGUAGUAUGCAGAUAGUUGUGGGGGUUUUUUGUCUUUUUUUUAGAUCUGCACCCUUGGCAUGUGGAGGUUCCCAGGCUAGGGGUCCAAUCAGAGCUGCAGCUGCUGGCCUGCACCACAGCCACAGCAACACCAGAGCCGAGCCACGUCUGCAAACUAUACCACAGCUCAUGGCAAUGCUGGAUCCUCAACCUACUGAGUGAGGCCAGGGAUUGAACCUGCAACCUCAUGGUUCCUAGUCGGAUUUGUUUCUGCUCCAUUAGGCCCUGGUGGAUGGGGGCAAGAGGACCAGAGAGGUUGGCUUUUGAAUGAGUGGGAUUGAUUAGGGGACCAAUGUGCAGUACAGGAGAAGAGGGCCAAGGGUGUCUGAUGCGGUCCUGGAUGCCAGGCAGAGGCCCAGCUGGUGAGGCCUUCACAUCAAGGCUCUCUGCAGUGGGAGCCGUAGAAGACCUGGGACAGAGUGGGACAGAGUGGGAUCGUGGUUGUGUUUGCCAGGAAUGCUCUGGAUGCUGUCGGGGAGGGGGAAACUUCCCUCUCUACCUCUCUUUUGAGUUCUUGCAGCUGGACUAAUAAUAAAAUUAACAGAAGACACAUUAACAGGAGAAAGAGAAAGAAAUUUCAGUGCACAUGAGGGUCUUACAGAAGUGGGACCUAAAAUUGGCCAAAAUAGGCGGCUUUUAUACUUAGACAAAGAAACAAUAACUUUGCGAGGGAUUGACUGGAAAAAGAAACUUAGGUUUUGGAUACCCAAUUAGUGAAGUAUCUAAACAGAGUUUGGGCUUCAGGUGUUAAAUUAAAGAAGUAACAAGGUCUGGGUUCCCUGGCGGCUCAGUGGGUUAAGGAUCCAGUGUUGUCACUGCUGUGGCUCUGGUCACUGUGGCUUGGGUUUGGUCCAUGGCCCUGGAAUUUUUGCAUGCUGUGGGCACAGC